CUGGCGGAGGCAUAGCACACUGCAGUCGAGCGGUACAGAGAGAAGCUUACUUCUUUGCUGACGAGCGGCGGACGGGUGAGUAACGCGUAGGAAUCUACCUAUUAGUGGGGGAUAAGCCAGAGAAAUUUGGUCUAAUACCGCAUACGCCCUACGGGGGAAAGGAGGGGAUCUUCGGACCUUUCGCUAUUAGAUGAGCCUGCGUAAGAUUAGCUAGUUGGUGAGGUAAUGGCUCACCAAGGCGACGAUCUUUAGCUGGUCUGAGAGGAUGAUCAGCCACACUGGGACUGAGACACGGCCCAGACUCCUACGGGAGGCAGCAGUGGGGAAUAUUGGACAAUGGGGGGAACCCUGAUCCAGCCAUGCCGCGUGUGUGAAGAAGGCCUUCGGGUUGUAAAGCACUUUCAGAUGUGAGGAAAGGUGAGUAGUUAAUACCUGCUUACUGUGACGUUAGCAUCAGAAGAAGGACCGGCUAACUCCGUGCCAGCAGCCGCGGUAAUACGGAGGGUCCGAGCGUUAAUCGGAAUUACUGGGCGUAAAGCGCGCGUAGGUGGUAUAGUCAAGUCAGAUGUGACAGCCCACGGCUCACCUUGGGACUGACCUGAUACUGGAAGAUUCGAGUCCAUACAGGGGGAGGGAAUUCCCGGUGUACGGGGAAAUGCGUUAAGAUCGGAGGACCCCGUUGGGGAGGGACACCCUGAAUAG
rnacentral:rRNA from 1 species